UGACAGCUUUUUGGCUGUAAAGUUCUUUCGUUUAAAACGAUAAUGACGUUAUUAAAAGAAGUUUUAGUCCCGGCAAAUUCUCGUGCCAGCAGCCGCGGUAAUACGAGGGGUGCAAGCGUUAAUCGGAAUUACUGGGCGUAAAGCGUGCGUAGGUGGUUUGUUAAGCAAGAUGUGAAAGCCCUGGGCUCAACCUGGGAACUGCAUUUUGAACUGGCAAGCUAGAGUUUUGUAGAGGGUAGUGGAAUUUCCAGUGUAGCGGUGAAAUGCGUAGAGAUUGGAAGGAACAUCAGUGGCGAAGGCGGCUACCUGGACAAAGACUGACACUGAGGCACGAAAGCGUGGGCAGCAAACAGGAUUAGAUACCCU
rnacentral:rRNA from 1 species